UACGAAGGUCCCAAGCGUUAUCCGGAUUUAUUGGGUUUAAAGGGUGCGUAGGCGGGCUAUUAAGUCAGUGGUGAAAGCCCCAAGCUUAACUUGGGAACUGCCAUUGAUACUGAUGGUCUUGAGUACAUUUGAGGUGGGCGGAAUGUGUCAUGUAGCGGUGAAAUGCUUAGAUAUGACACAGAACACCGAUUGCGAAGGCAGCUCACUAAACUGUAACUGACGCUGAGGCACGAAAGCGUGGGGAGCAAACAGGAUUAGAUACCCUGGUAGUCCACGCCCUAAACGAUGAUCACUCGAUGUGUGCGAUAUACUGUACGCGUCUGAGCGAAAGCAUUAAGUGAUCCACCUGGGGAGUACGACCGCAAGGUUGAA
rnacentral:rRNA from 1 species